rnacentral:rRNA from 1 species
AUUGAACGCUGGCGGCAUGCCUAACACAUGCAAGUCGAACGGUAACGCGGAGAGCUUGCUCUCUGGCGACGAGUGGCGGACGGGUGAGGUAAUACUUAGGAAUCUGCCCAGUAGUGGGGGACAACAUUCGGAAACGGAUGCUAAUACCGCAUACGCACUACGGUGGAAAGUGGGGGACCUUCGGGCCUCACGCUAUUGGAUGAGCCUAAGUCGGAUUAGCUUGUUGGUAGGGUAAUGGCCUACCAAGGCGACGAUCCGUAGCUGGUCUGAGAGGACGAUCAGCCACACUGGGACUGAGACACGGCCCAGACUCCUACGGGAGGCAGCAGUGGGGAAUAUUGGACAAUGGGCGCAAGCCUGAUCCAGCAAUGCCGCGUGUGUGAAGAAGGCCUGCGGGUUGUAAAGCACUUUCAGUAGAGAAGAAAAGCCCAGGGUUAAUACCCCUGAGUCUUGACGUAACCUACAGAAGAAGCACCGGCUAACUCCGUG